GCCAGCCUGGUCUACAGAGUGAGUUCCAGGACAGCCAAGGACUACACAAAGAAACCCUGUCUCAAAAAAAAAAAAAAAAAGAAUGUGCUAUAUCUCUACAUCAAUAUUGAAUGAACACAGCAUUGUUAGUAACAAAUACACUGGCAUAAGUCAACAUGGACCAGUACAAAUAUGAAAUUUCCUGCCCAGGUUUACGUCUAUGUAGAAAAAUUACUGCUUUCAAAAUCCAGUUAUCCAUUCCAACUAAAACACCAUGACUUAAAAAGACAACUGCAGAAUCAGGUCCAAUCCCAGCAACUGAGGAGUUGGAGGCAGGAAGUAAAUCCAUCCCAGUUACACAGUAAGACCUGGUCCACUUCUUUCUUUUUUUUUAAAGACAACUGCAAAUUUUGUUAGAAAAGAUGACUAUCUUUUAGAAAGUGUAUCAUUAGUCUAUCCCAAGAACUUUGGAGAGAAAUACUGUCAAAUUCAACUAUCAAGUUUAAUUUACUUUUGAUGACACACUAGAUAUAGAAGAAUAAAACAUGGUGAUCCAUCUACAGGCCAAUUCAAUUUUUGUGGCUCUCUAAACUACAACAUACAUAAUCAGUAAAAUAUGAGUAUUUAUCCCUAGGUCUUCCCUCCCACUCUUGGGAGUUCUAUCUAUAAAUAAAUCUGUAUUUGCUCUGAAAAAAACUUAAAAUACAAAACCUUCUAAAACAUAUAAUCUGCCAUUACUUACAGUGAACAUAAUCUUUCCAUCUCAAAAUUCUCCCCAAGGUUGAAUAUAUGCUAAACUUUGCAAUUUCACAACUGGUCAAAUAAAAAGCUAACUUAAAUUCUAGAUUAUAAAGCCACUCGUGGCGGUGUUAGGAGGCUAAAGUAGUAGUAUCCAAGUUUUGAGUUUGAGGCCAGCUUGGAAUUCACAGGGAGCAUGGGGGAGGAGGGAGCAUUCAUCUCUGUUUUCUGAUUACAGAUGUUUUGUCAUGUGAUUAUCUGCCAGGCUUGUGCUGUUAUGACUUCUCAGCAUAAUCAACUAUACCCUGAAACUGUGAGCCAAAAUAAACCCUGCCUCCCUAAAUAAAAAUAUAAUUUAGACUAUUAGGAAUAACCUCACUAGAGUUGAGUAGUUCCAAGUUGUCUAUACAUGUUCAAAUUCCAUUUAUUAAGUGACAAGUGACUUCUCAGUACUUCAGUUUUUCUGUAAAAUGGACAUAUACCUACCACAAAGAAUCGUUGAGAUGUAAUUAUGUACAAAGAGCAAUGUCUACAACCUAUCAAGUACAAUAUUGCUUGCCAGUAUACCACUAAAAUGGCAGCAUUUAGAUAUCAUGCUAUUGUCAUCAAGGAAACUUUCAAGAGCUGGACAAGUUCCUAUUUCUGUGAAACUUUAGCACUUAGGAAACUUGAGACAAGAGGAUGGCUGCAUGUUUGAUGGCAGCAUGGCCUAUAAAUUAUACUGAAUGGUAUUUUAAGAAAUUGUUUAAAAAUUAACAUCCAAACUUUAAGUUUCACCAGAAAACAGUUAAGACUGGUAAAUCUAUAAAAAAAAAUUUUUAUACUAGCAAGUCAGAUGACCAUUAGUACCAAGCUAAAUCCUAAACAUACUUUCAAACCUUCUCAUCAAUGAUGGAAGGAAACUUAACAGUCUCUAUACUAUUUUGUUUUCCUUCCAACCAUUUGUUCUGUGUUGCACACUAUAUCCAAUUAAGUGAUGUUUAAAGAGAGAGAGAGAGACAGACAGACAGAGACAGGUAAGGCUGGUAUUGCUUAUUUUCAAUCCCAGCACUCUGAAGAGAACGGUAGGUGGAUCUCUGUGAGUUCCAAGGCAGCCAGGACUAUGUAAAAGGCUGUAAGGCUGUCUUU
rnacentral:lncRNA from 1 species